rnacentral:rRNA from 1 species
CUGCAGCCCGAGUGGUGAUCGAUUUUAUUGAGCCUAAAGCGUCCGUAGCCGGACUAGUAAACCCUUGGGUAAAUUGGGCAGCUUAACUGUCCGAAUUCCGAGGGGACUGCUAGUCUUGGGACCGGGAGAGGUCAGAGGUACUCAAGGGGUAGGGGCUAAAUCCUGUAAUCCUUUGGGGACCACCAGUGGCGAAGGCGUCUGACUAGAACGGAUCCGACGGUAAGGGACGAAACCCUGGGGCGCGAACCGGAUUAGAUACCCGAGUAGUCC